GGGGAAUUUUCCGCAAUGGGCGAAAGCCUGACGGAGCAACGCCGCGUGAGGGAUGAAGGCCUCUGGGCUGUAAACCUCUUUUAUCAAGGAAGAAGAUCUGACGGUACUUGAUGAAUAAGCCACGGCUAAUUCCGUGCCAGCAGCCGCGGUAAUACGGGAGUGGCAAGCGUUAUCCGGAAUUAUUGGGCGUAAAGCGUCCGCAGGCGGUCUUGUAAGUCUGUCGUUAAAGCGUGGAGCUUAACUCCAUUUGAGCGAUGGAAACUGUAAGACUAGAGUGUGGUAGGGGCAGAGGGAAUUCCCGGUGUAGCGGUGAAAUGCGUAGAUAUCGGGAAGAACACCAGUGGCGAAGGCGCUCUGCUGGGCCAUAACUGACGCUCAUGGACGAAAGCCAGGGGAGCGAAAGGGAUUAGAUACCCCUGUAGUCCUGGCCGUAAACGAUGAACACUAGGUGUCGGGGGAAUCGACCCCCUCGGUGUCGUAGCCAACGCGUUAAGUGUUCCGCCUGGGGAGUACGCACGCAAGUGUGAAACUCAAAGGAAUUGACGG
rnacentral:rRNA from 1 species